GACGAACGCUGGCGGCGCGCUUAACACAUGCAAGUCGAGCGAGAACCAGGGCUUCGGCCCUGGGGACAGCGGCGAACGGGUGAGUAACACGUGGGUAAUCCACCCUCGGCACCGGAAUAGUCCGGGGAAACCCGGAUUAAUGCCGGAUGGCCCGCCGGCCCCGAGGGGCUGGCGGAAACGGUAGCUUCGGCCUCCGGCCGAGGACGAGCCCGCGACGGAUUAGCUUGUUGGUGGGGUAACGGCCUACCAAGGCUGCGAUCCGUAGCUGGUCUGAGAGGACGAUCAGCCACACUGGGACUGAGACACGGCCCAGACUCCUACGGGAGGCAGCAGUGGGGAAUCUUGCGCAAUGGGCGAAAGCCUGACGCAGCGACGCCGCGUGGGGGAAGAAGGCCUUCGGGUUGUAAACCUCUUUCAGGAGGGACGAAGCCACUCGGGUUAAUAGCCCAGAGGGUGACGGUACCUCCAGAAGAAGCCCCGGCUAACUACGUGCCAGCAGCCGCCGUAAGAC
rnacentral:rRNA from 1 species